rnacentral:rRNA from 1 species
AUUGAACGCUGGCGGCAGGCCUAACACAUGCAAGUCGAACGGUAACAGGAAGAAGCUUGCUUCUUUGCUGACGAGUGGCGGACGGGUGAGUCAUGUCUGUGAAACUGCCUGAUGGAGGGGGAUAACUACUGGAAACGGUAGCUAAUACCGCAUAACGUCGCAAGACCAAAGAUGAGGACCUUCGGGCCUCUUUCCAUCGGAUGUGCCCAGAUGGGAUUAGCUAGUAGGUGGGGUAACGGCUCACCUAGGCGACGAUCCCUAGCUGGUCUGAGAGGAUGACCAGCCACACUGGAACUGAGACACGGUCCAGACUCCUACGGGAGGCAGCAGUGGGGAAUAUUGCACAAUGGGCGCAAGCCUGAUGCAGCCAUGCCGCGUGUAUGAAGAAGGUCUUCGGGUUGUAAAGUACUUUCAGCGGGGAGGAAGGGAGUAAAGUUAAUACCUUCGCUCAUUGACGUUACCCGCAGAAGAAGCACCGGCUAACUCCGUG